rnacentral:rRNA from 1 species
UACGGGGGGGGUAAGCGUUGUUCGGAAUUACUGGGCGUAAAGGGCUCGUAGGCGGCCAACUAAGUCAGACGUGAAAUCCCUCAGCUUAACUGGGGAACUGCGUCUGAUACUGGAUGGCUUGGAUUCGGGAGAGGAAUGCGGAAUUCCAGGUGUAGCGGUGAAAUGCGUAGAUAUCUGGAGGAACACCGGUGGCGAAGGCGGCUCUCUGGAACGCAACUGACGCUGAGACGCGAAAGCGUGGGGAGCAAACAGG